GGAGUGGUCGUGGCAAGUUAAGACAUGCGGAAUCUGCCAUUUGUUUGGGUGCGCCACCGAACCGUAACCCUAGGUCUGCUACCUCGCCUUCGUCCCUUCUCCACCGAUGCGCCCGGUGGUGGCAGCGUGGCCGUGAAGCAGGUGACGAGGUCUAAUUUCAACGCGGCGCUGGAGGGCCUUAGGGCCUACGUGGAGGAGUCGGACUUCGUGGCCGUUGACCUUGAGAUGACCGGCGUGACGAGUGCCCCAUGGAGGGACUCGUUCGAGUUCGACCGAUCCGAUGUCCGUUACCUUAAGCUGAAGGACUCCGCUGAGAAGUUCGCUGCCGUGCAGUUCGGUGUCUGACCCUUCCUCUGCGAGUCAUCCAAGGGCUCCUUCUUCGCCCAUCCGUUAAUGUUCUUCAUCAUUUGGCUUUCGUUUUGUUAUGAUAGGGUUUAACGUGGUUUUAGAGAAAAUGGAAGUGAUGAAUUGACUUCUCUAUCGGUUUUUAUUUUUGUGGGGGAAAAAUGAUCUUUACCUCAUUCUCCUGUUCAAAUUGAAUGCCUUGUUUAGGAUAUUCUUUCAUGUUUUCUCCCUCUGGAAGCGAGGCCUGCUUGUGAUAACGAUUAAAAACUGUUCAUAUGUCAAGCAGAUGAGAUUCAUGACUGAUUUUUGCGUGGUUUUACCUUAUCACUUCUUUUGACGGAUAUCCAAUUUAUGUUUGAUGAGAUGGUGGUAAUUUACUGAUUCAGGACUAUUCGUUUGAUAUUUUUGGGAUAAUUUAUCAGUCAUACUUGCUUGUUCUGUGGGACAGUUCUCGACAGACAUUGGUAGGUAAUUGUAGACGAAAUUUGUGUUAGAUCACCUAGUUAUUAAUAUAAGAUUCUGUAUGAUUUCAUGUUUGUAGAAUUUUGUUGGAUUUCGUGUGACAUCUGCAGCUCUUUACAUUGCAGGCAUAACUUCUAUAUCUUUCCACGGAAAGAGUUGUCACUUCAUGGGCCACCUGAUGAUUUCCUAUGGCAAGCAACAUCCAUCGACUUCCUUGCUAAAUACCAAUUUGACUUCAAUGCAUGCAUAUAUGAAGAGAACAAGAAGGAGAAGCCCUCAAAGGUUUAUCUUCAGAGUACCUUGAGGGAUUAGCUAAUUCCUUUUGUAAUUUUGAGGAGCCUGUGGAUAUACCAAUUGUGAGAACAUCUGACAUUUUUUUUUCGGAGAGGAUGAAGAACAAGCUUCAUAAAUGGCAUGAUUCUAUACUUAGAAGUCUUGACAAAACUUACAUUGACAAAGAAGAUGCUGGUAUCAACAACGCACUAUUUCAAACAGUUUUCUUUAAGAUGCGUCCUGCUAUCAUGCUAAAUGGGUUUACCUCCCACCAGCUGAAGUUGAUUCAACUGAUUUUCUCAACAAAAUUGGUUGGUUCAUUAAUCUGUACAAGAGAAGCAAUUUAUCUUAUGAAAUUUGAAGACAGAGGGCAAAAAGAAGGAAUUGAAGGCAUGCUAUUAGCUCGAGGAUGGAGGAAUAAAUUAUUGAAAGGAAAAAAAAAACUUGUUAUUACAGAAAGUAGGUAGAGGGAAGAAAAUCGUAUUGAGGAAGGUAGGCAAAGAGAAGAAAAACUCAAGGGGAUGAUUCAGAAAUGAUUCAAGAAAUGAAAUAUAUAAAUCAUUUAUAUCUUGGAGAAUUUGGUCUUUAUAGUUUGAUUA